rnacentral:rRNA from 1 species
GAAGGACUUUACGGAGGGAAAACACAAUGACUGAGUGGCGGACGGGUGAGUAACGCGUAGGGAACCUGGCCCUUACAGGGGGAUAACAGAUGGAAACAACUGCUAAUACCGCAUAAGCGCCCAGCCUCGCAUGAGGCAGAGUGAAAAACUAAGGUGGUAAGGGAUGGCCCUGCGUCCGAUUAGCUAGUUGGUAUGGUAACGGCAUACCAAGGCGACGAUCGGUAGCCGGCCUGAGAGGGUGGACGGCCACAUUGGGACUGAGACACGGCCCAAACUCCUACGGGAGGCAGCAGUGGGGGAUAUUGCACAAUGGGGGAAACCCUGAUGCAGCGACACCGCGUGGGUGAAGAAGCGCUUCGGCGUGUAAAGCCCUAUCAGUGGGGAAGAAAAAGGACGGUACCCAAAGAAGAAGCACCGGCUAAAUACGUGCCAGCAGCCGCGGUAAUACGUAUGGUGCAAGCGUUAUCCGGAAUGACUGGGUGUAAAGGGAGCGUAGACGGUUGUACAAGUCUGAUGUGAAAGCCCACGGCUCAACUGUGGGAGUGCAUUGGAAACUGUAGAACUAGAGUAUCGGAGAGGCAAGUGGAAUUCCUAGUGUAGCGGUGAAAUGCGUAGAUAUUAGGAGGAACACCAGUGGCGAAGGCGGCUUGCUGGACGAAAACUGACGUUGAGGCUCGAAAGCGUGGGGAGCAAACAGGAUUAGAUACCCUGGUAGUCCACGCUGUAAACGAUGAAUACUAGGUGUUGGGGCCCGAAGGGCGUCGGUGCCG